GCGGAAGUAGCUCAGUGGUAGAGCAUCGCCUUGCCAAGGCGAGGGUCGCGAGUUCGAAUCUCGUUUUCCGCUCCA
rnacentral:tRNA from 17 species